rnacentral:rRNA from 1 species
GUAGGUGGCAAGCCUUGUCCGGAAUUAUUGGGCGUAAAGCGCGCGCAGGCGGUUCUUUAAGUCUGAUGUGAAAGCCCACGGCUCAACCGUGGAGGGUCAUUGGAAACUGGAGAACUUGAGUACAGAAGAGGAAAGCGGAAUUCCACGUGUAGCGGUGAAAUGCGUAGAGAUGUGGAGGAACACCAGUGGCGAAGGCGGCUUUCUGGUCUGUAACUGACGCUGAGGCGCGAAAGCGUGGGGAGCAAACAGGGAUUAGAUACCCUGGUAGUCCACGCCGUAAACGAUGAGUGCUAAGUGUUAGGGGGUUUCCGCCCCCUUAGUGCUGCAGCUAACGCAUUAAGCACUCCGCCUGGGGAGUACGGCUGCAAGGCUG